CUAAUACAUGCAAGUCGAGCGGACCGACGGGAGCUUGCUCCCUUAGGUCAGCGGCGGACGGGUGAGUAACACGUGGGUAACCUGCCUGUAAGACUGGGAUAACUCCGGGAAACCGGGGCUAAUACCGGAUGCUUGAUUGAACCGCAUGGUUCCAAUCAUAAAAGGUGGCUUUCAGCUACCACUUACUGAUGGACCCGCGGCGCAUUAGCUAGUUGGUGAGGUAACGGCUCACCAAGGCGACGAUGCGUAGCCGACCUGAGAGGGUGAUCGGCCACACUGGGACUGAGACACGGCCCAGACUCCUACGGGAGGCAGCAGUAGGGAAUCUUCCGCAAUGGACGAAAGUCUGACGGAGCAACGCCGCGUGAGUGAUGAAGGUUUUCGGAUCGUAAAACUCUGUUGUUAGGGAAGAACAAGUACCGUUCGAAUAGGGCGGCACCUUGACGGUACCUAACCAGAAAGCCACGGCUAACUACGUGCCAGCAGCCGCGGUAAUACGUAGGUGGCAAGCGUUGUCCGGAAUUAUUGGGCGUAAAGCGCGCGCAGGCGGUUUCUUAAGUCUGAUGUGAAAGCCCCCGGCUCAACCGGGGAGGGUCAUUGGAAACUGGGGAACUUGAGUGCAGAAGAGGAGAGUGGAAUUCCACGUGUAGCGGUGAAAUGCGUAGCGAUGUGGAGGAACACCAGUGGCGAAGGCGACUCUCUGGUCUGUAACUGACGCUGAGGCGCGAA
rnacentral:rRNA from 1 species